UAACGAUUCAGUAUGGCAAUUUGUUGUUGCCACUGGUGACAUCAGCUGCCACGCAAGAGCAUCGUGAUGGAGUGCUGGGACUUGGGCGUCAUCGCCUCAUUGGUGGCACUUUACUCAUCGCUUCCGUCGUCACCGAAGAUCAGGGCCGUUACAUUUGAUUCGUCAACAGUUCCAUUGGAUUAGUCGAAUCACGUACCGAACUCAUUUUUCGUGUCAAAUUACAAGUCAGAAUCGUUGAACGUCGUCGUCGCCGCAUAGAAUGCACAGCACAUUUAAGUCACCGAUCCAGAAACGUCCGUCACCAUCACGUGUCAUUUCUCCGGCCGGUUGUCAGUUGGCUCAAAGAUGGCCAGCGCUUCUUGGUGGGUAAUAGUGGUCGUGUUUCUUCUUCAUCCGGCGACGACGGCUACACCGAUAUGGUCCAGUUAUCCAUUUCGUCCGUCCAACGUGAAGAUGAGGGAAUAUACCAAUGCCUGGCAUCCAAUGACGAAGGAGAUUGGGCCAAGCAUCAGCCCAUCUGGCCAUUGGAGCAUUUCAUCCUCAUUUGAAAGAAACGUUCAGUCGGCAAGUUGUACAUCCGGGAAGUUCAGUCUCGUUGAAAUGUUUAGCCUCUGGCACUCCGCUGCCUCAUUUCACUUGGACGCUGGACGGGUUUCCGUUAUCGCCCGUUUCCGAACGAUAUUUCCUCGGCCAGCAGCAACAAACGGGUCACGACGAUCUUGUAGUGGCUCAUCUCAACAUAACCCACGUCCGAGUCGAAGACGGAGGCAAUUACAAAUUUGACGAUCGAUCCGUUGGAUAAGAGCAGCGACGCCGGUCUUUAUAGUUGCGAGGUGCGUGGCCAGAACGGACUCUCGGCUCGCCAGUCACUUCAACUCAACAUCCUCGGAAAUGAAGCCAUUGUGCAUAUUGCAUCAACCAAGGGCGAAAUGUUACCACAUAUAGGCCAAUGUUACAACGGACACAUGAAGUCUGUAUGUUGGUACAGUUUAUCAACAGGCAUAAGAGCAUGUUCGGGCAAUAAUUGUGGGAUAGUUUAGGUAGAUUCUUUGCUGCGUCAUAGCUCGGGAGUCGUAACGGGCAAUACCCUUGUGCAUUAAGUUGGUGAACUCUUGUGUUCCAUUGGGUAAUGCUAUCAAAUCUUAAUGUGCUAUUUGUGAAAGAUUUUAUUAUUCUGUAUGUUUUAAAGGAAAAUAUUUCAAAUUGAUUUAUUUGCAUGUUACGGAGUUUGGUUUUUUUUCUGAUCUGUGGAGCCUGACAUUUUCCACAAUUUCUAUCGGCGGACAAAAUGUCUUUUAGGAUUGGUAGCAGCUUACGAAGCAGUAGGUUCCAACAUCAUCUAACGUCUGCUUUAGUAAUGGCAGGGAUGUGAAUAAUAAUUUGUGAAAUCAAACAACUUAAGCAGGUGCCUAGCUCAACAACUCCUAUGAAAUCUAGAUUGGUGGUGGUAGUUAUAGGGCGCCUGUUCAGGCAACAGUUUCGUUUUUUAAUCCGCCAAGGAUUUAUGCGUUAUUGCGUCUACUGUGUAGCCUGAGUAGCAUACGCAAGGGGGCAUUUAUCUACAUUCCUGAUCACCAAGCAGUUACAAAUAUGUUCUACACUGAUAAGCAUCAGAGGCAAAGGGCGAGCUGAACUAGUCUAUUGCCCCUCAACUCCAGAGGGCACUAGUUUACAGCAACUCGGGCUCACCCUUUGGAGAGUGGAUUCUCAUUUCUUCUUCAUACCAGCGAGCAGAUUUGAGGUUAAAAAUUGUUUUAGGUUGUUAAGCAAGUCUGACUUUCUACGAUGUGCAUGACCGCCAAACUUUGUCGUUAUGUCUGACUGUUAAUCGGUAAGAAAAACGGCGAAUUAUUGACGAUACGUUUGUCAAAAUGGCAAAUACAACGCCUAACGAUUUAAAUCUAACUUGGGAUAAUCUACUUCUCGGACAAGGUACUUUGAGACCGGAUCUAAUUGAGUCCGCUUUCCAUAUGGCUUCUUCGCGCACUGUUGCCAUGAAGACUCGUCAUAACGAUUCCGAAAUGGUUCGUCAAUUUCGCAUUCACGGCCGUGUAGUAGAACCUAUUAAAGACUUCCUUAAAGAUGAAGUAAGAGCCUUAGGUCGUGAGCUGGGUUUGCCCGCACAAUUACUGGAACGUUACCCGUUUCCUGGUCCCGGCUUGUCAAUUUGAAUCAUUUACGCCGAAGAGCCGUACUUGGAAGCUAAUUUCGAUGAGACGCAAGUGCUGAUUCGUUCGAUGGUCCAUUAUGCCAACAUAGCAGCCAAGGAACAUGCCUUGCUCAAUCGGAUUGAAAUCGUGACGUCGGAAGAAGAACGUCUUCUUCUGGGAGAAAUGUCUAGUCGCAACCAGUAUGUUGCCACGCUACUGCCUAUUCGCACUGUCGGUGUUCAGGUACAGGAGGUUGCAGAAAAAUGUGUCGGGUAUGGCAAACAAAGCAUAGGGAAAACCGCCACAUUUUUCUGCAAUAUACUGUACAACAGAUUCGCAAUUUAGACGUUGUCGUAAUAAUGCCGCGAUCAUAAUCAGCUCUUAUUCAAGGUAGAUGAUAGGUGCCACCGUAUCUACGCCAAGGGUCCUUGUGAUCAUGGCCAAUGGCUUGAGCCGGAUACCAACGACUAUGGCACCUGUCGCCCUUUGCCUUGCCCAGUAAGCAAAUGCAACGGUCGCCAGAUCUACUGGAAGUCAACACUAAAUUCUGAAGGUAGCUGUUAUAAAUCGUUCACACGUGGGCCUGCAGGCGAAGUAGCUAUUUCCUCGUUGAAGAAUAUGGCACUCGAAGAGGUCGAUGUGUUUCUCAAUUUGGAUCAUCCUAUGAAUCCUAUGUCCUUCCGUCACGCUAUCCCAGGAUGAGGAACCCUUACGACAUGAUGUACUCCAACAACGUGAUGAGCCCAUGAUCGAAAUUUGGCAUGUAUCCGCCGUUUGGCAUGCAGGAAGAUUAGCGGAGACGACUAUCCUGACAUUCCUAGUUUCGAUUACUGAACUAGAAACAGUUUUACAGAACCAUUCACAUGGUUUUGUCUCUAUUAUUUCAUUUUAAAAAUGCGAUUGCAAAUUUUCUAUUGUGACGUAUGGCGGAUAAAAAACAACCUUAAUUAGUUUUAAUGCAUGAAUUCGUUUGCCAAUAAUAUGUGUAUGAAGAAAAUGUUUUCACUUUGAAACAGAGUCAUGGAACCCAUCGGUUUCCAUGACUCUGCUUUGAAAGUUUGAACAGGGAUUUCUGUUUUACCUUUCUGCGAUGCGGCAACACAGCAUUGCAUGUCGAUCUGCGAACGUUUGACAACUCGCUGGUAUUGCAACAGGUUAAUAGUUUUGUGUCAAGUAAAUUUCAAGUGCGAGUAACUGCUGGAAGAUUGCAAGCGAAAUCUGCAUGUGUCGUGUCAUUGUUCUAAGUGUUGGAGACUUUUUUCGUUUUGAUUAGGCAUUCAUGUUUGGGAACAAUACCUGAAGUUGGAUAUCGCCUAGUGAUAUUUACAUAUUAAGUCCUAUUUUAAGACACUUGGGGCGAUACGUUUCGCAACAAAGAUCUAUACAGUACUCAAAAGAUGACCCACAAGCACUACGCCACCACGAUUGAGACAAGGUAAAACACAAAACUAUAAAGCGCCAUUUAUCAAUAAUGAAUGAAUUUCCUCAUUCUAACAAUAAUUUAAGAAAAUGUAAAUGUAUACUUAGCUGUGGUAAUUAUUUCGUUUACAUCGACUACACUUCAAUAAUUUACAAGUGGGAAAGUGUUGCCUAUAAGCAACAAGAAGGUAUUGUGCAUGUUUAUGAGCGAAUCAUGGCUUAAUGGGUGAGUGUCGGAUUGUACCGCUGGAUGUUUGUGGAUCAAAUACCAUCAAAGGUAAAAAGUA